AUACUGAGUAUUUAUUACGAAAACUGGCACAUAAUUUCAUAUUUUAAAUUAUGUUUCAUUGAAGUAUAUAUUUUUUUAAAAAAACAAUGUAAAAGAUAAUCGAAUACUUAAAAAUUUGUCUCUUUUUUGUUUUAUCGUGCUUAUUAUGUGUGCAGUUAACACUGAAAAACUGUUCAGGGAACGGUUUACAAUUUACUUUUACUAUUGGAGAUACUGGGACAACACACAGCUUAAAUGCCCGGGUAAGAAUCCGAUCCAAGUAUUACUGCGAACUCUAUUUUGCAGGGGUAUAGUUGUUUUCAUGUACAUUCAAAUAUCUGUAAUUAUUUUAAUAAAUAUUUAUGUUCUAUUUCCAAAAAAAUAAUUCAGUCAGCGAAAUUAUUUUGUUAUUACAGAUGCUGCAUCAAAACGUAUUAAUAUUAUGUUGUUAUAAUAUUCACUUACAGGUUUAUUAGUUACAGCAUUGUUGCCCCCCAAGAUAAACACAGGGAAUACAUUUUGGAAUCAUAGAACGAGUAAUGCAGGCAAUUCAGAUUUGCUUUGAAACACAGUAUAACCGAUAUUCAAGAUGUUUGACUUUACACAUGUUCGCUUGGUGACGAGUGUUCUCGCUUUACAAAUCUGUACUCGCUCUCGGGACACAGCUGCUGUGAACCCACAAUAAGAAACAAUUAGCAACCAGAGCAUUAAACUACACAAAACAUUAAUAAUCCAGGCGUCUUAAUGAUACCAAAUAUUGUAAUAGGACAAUAUAAAGAAACUGCUCGUAAGAAAUACGCGAGAAAAGUGAUGUCAGUGAACCUGGUGGCGUGGAAAGUAAUUACGUUUUUUUUUUACAAUGUGUUUUAAGUUCGUGAGAAUAAUGGCAUCUAGCAGCGUGGAGUGAAAAUAGCUUUAAAGCAAUGCGCAGUAAAUUGUCUCGCGCAUUGGUAUCAUUAUUAAUCUUAAUAUAUAUAAAUCCAGUGUCCUGAUGUUUGUUUCCAGUGAACUCUUCACCAAGUCAACCGAUUUAGAUGAAAAUUGGCAUUUAUGUGUAAUUUUUUCCAACUUGAGAGAUAGGAUAGUUUUUUAUUUCGAUUAAUGGUCUUAAUAAAUAGGUAAUUAAUAAUAAAUAAUAAAAUAACCGAUCGCCAUGGGUAACAAAAAAUCAUAGGUCAUAGACAUACAAACAGUAAUUGUGUGACAUUUCUCUAUGUCCAACACACAGUCAUAUAGCGCUAUCCAGUUUGGUUUAACUCGCAGACAAUAAAGCUCCAUGUGUUUAGCCCGGGCAACGCCGGGUACUGAAGCUAGUGUUUUAUGUAGUUUAAUGCUCUGGUUGUUAACUAUUUGUUAUUGUGGCGUGGCGGACUCUGUUCGUCUGCGCCCGGCUCCUCGCCUGCUUCCAGCGAGACGUUUUGGCCGCCAAUGCGCUCUCCGAUCACUCGGUCUCUCAGCCAAUGGAGUGCUAGUCCCCUGAAGCCCGCCACAUUCAAAUUAGCGCGCUUCUUUCUGCGCCUGUGACUUUGCAAGGCUUUGUUUCCGGGCAUUACGUUCCUUGACAAAAAAAAAAUUCUUGUUUGGACAUUCCCUCACAUUAUUUCCCCGCUGACUUGCUAACAUCCCCGCACAGUCAGGCGGUGGACACACCAAGGCGAGCACAAACGCGAGCGCGGUCGCUGCCGCGGGCGCGAACGACUGGCGAUCGAACCCAGUACACACCAAAGCGAACAGAGGCAGUCGCGGGAACAAGCAGCUGAGGAACAGCGACACGGCAACGGAGUACAGGAACUGCGGGUCGCGGCGGAGCGGUCGCGGCGGCUGGACGGAGCGACCCAGGGGAACUGCUCCAAGGACACGCGACACCGCGACGACGGGCCAGACGGCAGCGUGGUAGUCCGCCGGCUCCCAGCGCCGCGUCAGCAGGCGCAGGCGCGAUGGCAGACAGUCGGACAACUUCAUGUCGCUGUUCCGCGACGCGAAAAAAAAACCCCAGGCGCUGAAACAACUGCGUGGACUUAUCAGACGGCGCGGAUGGUCUAGUCCUGCCCCGGCUUGUAUCCUUGACACGUUUGGCCUGUUACAGCCACGCGCAACGCUUCUUAUGCCCUCACAAGACAAAAAAAAAAAAAACAUUUCUCUACCUCGGCGGCAUAACACAUUAUGUCUACUUUUGGGUAAAAUGCACUUUUAACCAUGAACUUGACCACCGUUUGAAGUUCUUUCUAUUAUCAUACAACUCUAUAUAAGAUCUACGAUAUGUCAAAAAUUCGCAUAUUUUGGCCAUAAAAUAGUUGCGUAAAUAAGUGCGGCACGAUUUAAAAUAUAUAUAUUUUUUUGGUGACAUAGUGUCUUAUGCCUCCAAGGGCCAGACAUAUUUUAAAAAAAAUAUGUUACAGUCGUGUGCUGUCAGUCAAUAAUUUCAAACUGCUGACAUACGUAUAAGAAAGGGUAUUUCAUCUUUAAUUGGACAUCACUCGGCGGGGAAGGAAAAAAAAAAGUUUUCGCUUAAAUGUUCCACCACAGUUUUUUUUUUAAAUCCAUAAAAUUAAUGGUUGCUUUUAAGUCGUUCAGGCCAUCGUUAUUUUCCCUAACUCCUGUACGAUCUGACGUGAAGUAAAAAAUUCAUGUACAAUCCCUUAUGUAGUUACUGACAAAAAAUUCACUUAUACGUGCAUCAAUUUUUCUAAUCCGACAGAGUUUUCACGCAACGUUUUAAAAUAAAUAAUACACCAACGUUAGUUUGGCGUCUUUGUGAAAAAAGCAAAGGUAGGCUUCAUGAAAGAAGCCAAUGUAUUCGUUGCAGUGCCUUUCACCACACGAAUAAUUUUUAGUGGAAAAAAAUAUUUCGGAAUACGAUUAAAGUGUUAUCAAAAACUGAUGCCACUUCACUAUGAAAUGUUCUUGGAUUUGUGUAGCACGUGCAGAUAAUAAUUGUAUACCGUAUCAUGGAUAGCCGCCAUUUUAAUUAUUUCCUUAGUUUUUUUUUUACAGGGCACGUCAAUAAUCUUUACGAGUUUAAAUAUGGACUCACAGAAUGUUAUCAUGAAAUGUAUCUAUUCAUACAUACAAACACACAUAUAUAGUCAUUAUACUUUCAAGUCCAUGGCCAACACAUUCAUAUUCAGCCAAUUAGUUAUAUUACCGCAGCAACAAUCGAUUUGUAUAAAAUAAUAAAUAUUACCACCCUUUACAUGAGUAAGGAAAGUAAGAGUGAGGAAAGGGGUAUAUAUCCACUAGUGGCCAUUUUAUGCAAAUGUAAAAUGUAAAAUACUUUCCAACCCCCCCCCCCCCCAGCACAUCGCGUUACGCUAUUGAUUUCGAGCUUGAAAAAAAAUUGAAUAAAAGUUAAAUAUAGCAAUGACUUGUCUUGUGGCUGGGAUAUUUUUCUUAUGUACUUCCAUUAAAAUAUUUUUAAAAUAUUUUUUAUGAUAAGGUUUCUCCCUUCCUUUGUCCUCUUUUCCUUUCUAUUGCUAUUGCUUUCCAAACAGAUAAAGUCGUGUUUUUGUAUUGAUACAUAUUUAUUAAGUGUCAAUAGCUUGAUUUCUAAUUUUCAAGUUUAUUCGGGGGAUUGAAAAGAGACUUAUUUUAGUAAAAUAACUACAUUUUUUACAGAGUAUUAUUUCUUAUUUUAUAACUUUUCUGUUUGUAUUAACCCAUCGUUGAUGAGUAAAAUUCCAAUUAAGUUACAAAUAUUACAUUAUGCGUAAUCUGGAAACACUGCACGUCAACACACUUCCAGAUUGAAGGGUGAGGGGGAGUAACUCACCCCCUCCCAACCAAGGAGUAGAAGCGUGAAGGGUUCAUUGACAUAUAUUCUGUAAUUCAAGAAACUAAUUCACAAAAUCCACAUUCACUAUGCUAUAACAUCACAGCUUAUGCCCAAGGCCAACUUCGUUGGAAGGAUGCUGGGUUCGAUGACCGGAUAAGGCAUGGCGUUCGUUCGCGAGCAAGCGUCACGUGCUGGCUGUGCGAGUGACGGGUUGUUAGAAGAGGUUGGUACCGCCGGUGCCGGUCUGCUUUUCUCGAGAGGACUGUCGAAGCCCGGACAAAACUGCGCAGCGCCUGACGACACGCACGCACAGUGUCGGCGGCCAGGUGAAGACCAACAACCGGAAGGCGUGCCUUUGAUCAGCGAGGAGGAUGCGGGUUGUGGGGAGGGGUGGGGGGGUUGUGAGGCGGCGAAUUCCUUCCGCGCGGGAGGACACGUCUGCACGAGGCCGCCACAGUCACGCACCUCUCGGCGUGCGACCGCCUGGGUUGGUUGCCAUGCGCGACCCCACGUGUCGCACGAGUGCUGGGACAGGGGAGCCUAAGAUGUACAUCAAGUUCCGUCCCUGCCCGAACACGCCCGAAUAUUCACCUUCGGCCAACCUCGGGUUCAUUAUUUAUAUUUCUCUGUUUAUUUUAAUGUAGCUAUACUAACCUAACUAACCGUCCAUAGAGUUUUAAAAUGUUUUAAUGUAGCCAGGGGCGCAACAAGGGGGGGGGGGGCAAGGGUAUUUUGCCCCUCCCCCUCUGAAACCUUGAAGUGGGGGCAAACGUGGGCAAAGAAAGUGCUGUGUAAUCAAUUUUUAGAUAAUAAAACUGCUUAAAUAGCACCAUUUUCCACCUUGAAAUACAAAUUUUCCCGGGGGUCGAUGAUUCUUUAUAAAAAGGUAUAUUGCCUUUGGAAAUUUAGUUGUUGCGCUCCUGAAUGUAGUUAACCUAACCGACCACUUUUAAUAUUUGAAUUCAUUUUUCCUGCGCAAAAAUAAAACAAAUCCCGAGGUUGGCCGAAGGUGAAUAUUCGGGCGUGUUCGGGCAGGGACAGAACUUGAUGUACAUCUUAGGCUUCUCGUGCUUGGGACAGGCGAGCAACCAGCAGGGGGGGGGGGGGGGGGGGGCAUCCCCUCCCCCUCCCUCACAGGGUUCCAAUGGAAGAAAAAAAACCUACUGAAGAUGGAAUAAGAAAAUCACAUCAAGUUAACUACAAAAAAAAAAAGUUUCAGAGAGCUUUGUUUGGAAGGAUUAUUGUAAUCAUCAUUAGUGGGCUGCAAUAAAUGCAUUUUUUCCUCCCACAUCCAAACCAACAAACAUGCCUCAUGCGCACAGAAGUGGCAGGGAUCGUCUGCAAGAAGUCUAUAAUUUUUUUAUUGUCGGUUCGCACACGUGUUUUAGUUGUAAGCAUGUAUUUCAU